GAUCCUGGCUCAGGACGAACGCUGGCGGCGUGCUUAACACAUGCAAGUCGAACGAGAAUCUAUGGAUCGAGGAUUCGUCCAAGUGUAGUAGAGGACAGUGGCGGACGGGUGAGUAACGCGUGAGGAACCUGCCUUUCAGAGGGGGACAACAGUUGGAAACGACUGCUAAUACCGCAUGACACAUAGAGAUCGCAUGGUUUUUAUGUCAAAGAUUUAUCGCUGAAAGGUGG
rnacentral:rRNA from 1 species